GACGAACGCUGGCGGCGUGCUUAACACAUGCAAGUCGAACGGAAAGACCCUGCUUUUGUGGGGUUCUCGAGUGGCGAACGGGUGAGUAACACGUGAGUAACCUGCCCUUGACUUUGGGAUAACUUCAGGAAACUGGGGCUAAUACCGGAUAGGAGCUCCUGCUGCAUGGUGGGGGUUGGAAAGUUUCGGCGGUUGGGGUUGGACUCGCGGCUGACCAGCUUGUUGGUGGGGUAGUGGCUUACCCAGGAUUUGACGGGUAGCCGGCCUGAGAGGGUGACCGGCCACAUUGGGCCUGAGAUACGGCCCAGACUCCUACGGGAGGCAGCAGUGGGGAAUAUUGCACAAUGGGCGGAAGCCUGAUGCAGCAACGCCGCGUGCGGGAUGACGGCCUUCGGGUUGUAAACCGCUUUCGCCUGUGACGAAGCGUGAGUGACGGUAAUGGGUAAAGAAGCACCGGCUAACUACGUG
rnacentral:rRNA from 1 species